AGUGAACGCUGGCGGUAGGCCUAACACAUGCAAGUCGAACGGCAGCACAGUAAGAGCUUGCUCUUACGGGUGGCGAGUGGCGGACGGGUGAGGAAUACAUCGGAAUCUACUUUUUCGUGGGGGAUAACGUAGGGAAACUUACGCUAAUACCGCAUACGACCUACGGGUGAAAGCAGGGGAUCUUCGGACCUUGCGCGAUUGAAUGAGCCGAUGUCGGAUUAGCUAGUUGGCGGGGUAAAGGCCCACCAAGGCGACGAUCCGUAGCUGGUCUGAGAGGAUGAUCAGCCACAAGGGAACGGAGCAGACGUACAGGGCCCUACGGGAGGCAGCGGUGGGGAAUAUUGGACAAUGGGCGCAAGCCUGAUCCAGCCAUACCGCGUGGGUGAAGAAGGCCUUCGGGUUGUAAAGCCCUUUUGUGGGGAAAGAAAAGCAGCAGGUUAAUACCCCGCUGUUCUGACGGUACCCAAAGAAUAAGCACCGGCUAACUUCGU
rnacentral:rRNA from 1 species